rnacentral:rRNA from 1 species
AUUGAACGCUGGCGGCAGGCCUAACACAUGCAAGUCGAACGAGUGGCGGACGGGUGAGUAAUGUCUGGGAAACUGCCUGAUGGAGGGGGAUAACUACUGGAAACGGUAGCUAAUACCGCAUACCCUCGGAUGUGCCCAGAUGGGAUUAGCUAGUAGGUGGGGUAAAGGCUCACCUAGGCGACGAUCCCUUGCUGGUCUGAGAGGAUGACCAGCCACACAUGAACUGAGUCACGGUCCAGACACCUACGUGAGGCAGCAGGGGGGAAUAGUGCCCAAUGGGCGCAAGCCUGAUGCAGCCAUGCCGCGUGUAUGAAGAAGGCCUGCGGGUUGUAAAGUACUUUCAGCGGGGAGGCGUUACCCGCAGAAGAAGCACCGGCUAACUCCGUGCGAGAGCCGCGGUAAUAC